rnacentral:lncRNA from 1 species
CAAAAAUGUCGGUUAUUGAUUUGGGGAUGUACGGCGGGCGGCCGGGCGGGCGGGCGGCAACCAAAUGUUGUCCAUGCAUUUACUCAUGAAGUGUUCAACCAAACCUUUUAAAAUUUUAAUAUGUUGUUACUGACAACAAAAUGGAGGUCAAGUUCAAUAAUGACGAUUUUGACUUUUACCGUUCAGGAGUUACGCCGUAACGGUUCUUGAAAGUUUAAAAAAAUGUUGUGUUCGUGCAUUUACUCAUGAACCGUUCAACCAAACCUUUUAACAUUUUAAUAUGUUGUUACUGACAACAUAACGGAGGUCAAGUUCAAUAAUGACGAUUUUUACUUUUACCGUUCAGGAGUUACGGUUCUUGAAAGUUUAAAAAAUGUCGUGUCCGUGCAUUUACUCAUGAACCAGUCAACCAAACCUUUUAAAAUUUUAAUAUGUUGUUACUGACAACAAAAUGGAGAUCAAGUUCAAUAAUGACGAUUUUGACUUUUACCGUUCAGGAGUUACGGUUGUUUGUCCUGCUAGAGGGUCAUUUUCUAUCUAGUUUAUAUGUUGUUAUUGUUGACAACAUGGAAGUCAAGUUUGAUAUUGAUAAUCAUAAAUUUUACCUAUUAGGAGUUUUGGUCCUUGUAAUAUUGAUAAAUGCCAGAACACAAAUAAAUGUUAAAGAA